AUUGAACGCUGGCGGCAUGCCUUACACAUGCAAGUCGAACGGCAGCACGGGAGCAAUCCUGGUGGCGAGUGGCGAACGGGUGAGUAAUAUAUCGGAACGUGCCCAGUCGUGGGGAUAACGUAGCGAAAGCUACGCUAAUACCGCAUACGAUCUAUGGAUGAAAGCGGGGGAUCGCAAGACCUCGCGCGAUUGGAGCGGCCGAUAUCAGAUUAGGUAGUUGGUGAGGUAAAGGCUCACCAAGCCGACGAUCUGUAGCUGGUCUGAGAGGACGACCAGCCACACUGGGACUGAGAUACGGCCCAGACUCCUACGGGAGGCAGCAGUGGGGAAUUUUUGGACAAUGGGCGCAAGCCUGAUCCAGCAAUGCCGCGUGCAGGAUGAAGGCCUUCGGUUGUAAC
rnacentral:rRNA from 1 species